ACUGAAUUUAAUAAAGGCUUGGUGCUACAAAAAGCCAUGUAAGGGGAUGAUGCUGGAGUUCUUUUGUUUCCCUCCUGAAUUUUCUUGUAUAGGUUUGUCUUUAGAUGCCAUGGUCCGGAAUCUGCACUCCCAGAUGAUAAUGAGUCAGUUCAUCUUAGACUGUGCUGCCUGUUGGUAACUAAGAGCUGGGGCUGGUCAGCUAAAGGGCUUGUUAGGGUACUGCUCAAAUGAAGCCAAAAUUAUGAGCUCUAACACAUGGGAUUGUUAGGUUCAGUGUCCGCCAGCCAUCCCCCAAAAUGCCUGGGUUUAGUCAUAAGGGGCAUCAGUUUAGAAGCAGUGAUGAAGCAUCCAUGCUGCGGUGCUUGGAGAUGAGCCUUAAAAUCCACACUUCCCCGGCGGUAGCUAAAGGACUUCAUUACAAAUCAGUAGUAGUUUUACAUAUAGAUUGUAAGAGGAGGGAAUAUCUGAACGCAUCCAGAGGCUUCACACAGAAGGGGAUAUCUGAACUGGCUUUGGUAAAAAGCAAAUUAACAUUUUUGUCUUAUGGAGAUUGAAGCAAAGCAUAAGCCCAAAGAACGAAGCAUAAAAUUCAAGAGCACAUUCAGGUUUGUCACAGUGGGUGGAGGAGUGGGGCGGGAGGAAGGAGAGGGAAGGCACACUUAGUUGAGGUGAGCUGUCAGGCGGGCUGGCUGUUCAGAGGUGGGUGCCCUGUGUGGGGAGGCUCUUUGAUUCCUGGGGAGGAAGGCUAGAGAACAGGCAGCUCUUUUCUCUCUGCUAGAAAAGAGGAGGCGGCUCCUCACAAGGUUCCUUCCCACAGCUGAGCACUGCCCACAGCUGCCCUUGCCCCUGCCUUUCCACGUUGCACAAGCCCAGCGCACGGUACCCACUGGAUAUGCCCGAGGCCUCCAGAGGAAAGGAAAGGAGGAAAAGGGACAGAAGAAAUGUUCACAGGAACUGCAUAUGGGCCUGCUACUUGUGUCAAAAUGUGACUGAACUCUCUUCCAGCAGGUGUGGGGAAAAGAGUGACUUCACCUUAAAUGUUAACCUGCCAUGUAACUUCUGACUAAUCCCAGGUCCAGAAAUGCCUCCAAAUGUCUCGUUGCUGUAUUACUCUUUAUGUGGAAACACCUGUUCACUGCUAUUUCACUGAACUGAAGCAGUCAAAAGAGAAUGCUCAUGAGAUCCCAUCACCACCACUUUACCGAACUACUUCCAUAUUGUGAAUCCCUGGAAGGCAAGAUCGCCAUUCUGGUCUCUUGUGGAUAUCAAUGCUGAUCUCAGCUUCUGAUGCACGGCAGUCAAUUAAUAAAUGAUUGUUGCCUGAAAAACUGAGCCCCAAAACAAUAUUACAAGUUUAAUAUCAGUAAAGGAUUUAAUGCUUUCUAACAUGAAGAUACCAGAAGUUGCUGAUUUUUGUAUAACCCAGAGAUGGAUUUAAAUGCAGAGUGUAUGAACUUCUUCAUUCCUGAGGGAGGACUUAUGAUUUCAUGAGAAAUGCCCUAGGAAAGGGGCCGGGGAGACUGAUGGAGAAGAAGAGUUUGGGAGGGAAGCCCCAAGGACCAUCUGCCCCAUCAGAGUCACAUGCAGAGGGUCCUGCUCCUGCCGUUGGAAGUUGGCUUCCUGAGCUGCUGAACGUGCCAGUCCUGCUGACCCACUCUCAGAUAUCACAGGCACCCGCUGUGUCUGACAGAGACCUUUCUGCAAGUACACGUGCAGGUCUGCUCUGCAAAGGCGUUAUCAUCUGCAGAUUAUUGCACAGAGUGGCUACGAGCUGUGGUGUGAUCCUGUCACAGAGAGAGCCUGGUCACGUUUUCAGAACAGCAGGAAACAGGACAUUUUGAAACAUGUUUUCAGUGGUGAAAAGGACGUCUGCAAGAGGAACUGAAAGAGAAAUAAACAGUCACUGGAAACACACGCUGAAGGCGGGGAUUGGGGCACAUAUUAAUAAAAUAGCUUGAGUAAAAUUGGAUAAUGCACAAGAACAGCAAAACAGAACAAAACAAAACCCAACAACGAUGAGGAAUUCAUCAGUGAAGGGCUCGCGGAAUGUUCUGAGAAUAAUUCUUCCUUGCUAAUGCCCUCCAGUUUGCAUUAAGAUGCCCAGCAGUUCACCCUCCAGUCUGAGCCAGGCCAGCUACACAGGCUGAAAGUUUCUUAGGCCCUCGAUGACGAUCCUGGACAGGCACCCUGAACACAGCCUCCCCGGUACAUUCUUAGUGCACUCACAGAAUCUGCUGCUUCCCAGGUCUUUUGGAUGUGAAAUGAAACCCCAAGGACUGCUUUAACAAGGGGCAAAAACACAUGCAACCAAAGCCAGCAGUUAUGCCGAAGCAUCCCGGAUUCCCAUGAGAAACUCUCUGGAUCUAGUUCCUCUACGUCACAUGAGUGUGCAAACAGGAGACUACAAGAGUUUAAAAAUACUGGGACUGCUGGAGAUUUCCCUGGCCAUAUAUAGUUCACUUGUUUCACAGUAAGUUCAAAAGAGACAAAGGGAGAGGGAGGGAAAGAAAGAAGGCAACGGGCACUCAGCUUGAGUGAGUAGGGAACCUGAUUACAAUACUGUGCCACCUUCCUUCUCCCCCCAGCUCCGCCCCGGCACUCUCACCCCCAG
rnacentral:lncRNA from 1 species